GACGAACGCUGGCGGCAUGCCUAAUACAUGCAAGUCGAGCGAACAGAUGAAGUGCUUGCACUUCUGACGUUAGCGGCGAACGGGUGAGUAACACGUAAGGAAUCUACCUAUAAGCGGGGGAUAACAUUCGGAAACGGGUGCUAAUACCGCAUAAUAUCUUCUUCCGCAUGGAAGAAGAUUGAAAGACGGCUCUGCUGUCACUUAUAGAUGACCUUGCGGUGCAUUAGUUAGUUGGUGGGGUAAUGGCCUACCAAGACGAUGAUGCAUAGCCGACCUGAGAGGGUGAUCGGCCACAUUGGGACUGAGACACGGCCCAAACUCCUACGGGGAGCAGCAGGUAGGAACUUCCGUUCCGACAAGUGGGACGAAA
rnacentral:rRNA from 1 species